CUUCACAAGUAAAGAUUGAGAUCAACACCUUCACUUUUGUGUCUGUGUUGUUUCUCCAGCCCCUCUUUCACCGACUCCUCACCAUCCGUUCGUCUCCUGAGACCCCCUGUUGAAGCUGGUCUCCGACAUCUGGCGCCCCCCGAACAGGGACGAUCGGUAAUCCGACGCUACUUCACCUUUGUGGAAUCCAGAUCGACUCAUCAGACAUUAUGACUCACCUAUAUUGCAGGCGGAGGUUUCUCCCCAAGCCAUACCCAAGGAUGCCAUCGACCCAGGAUGAAGAACUUGCUGAGGACAUGACUAAUCUUCCCCUUCAUUCCCCUCGACAGGCAGGAACAACAUUGACAUCAAAAUUACCUUCCUGGGGUCAAAUCAAACAUCUGACCAGUCAGGCACAAAACUUGGUUGUUAGCCAAGGUGCCUCUGCCUCUCCUGAAAAAGUGUUUCUUGCUAUGCUAGCACUCUUGUCUUUUAAGGUAUCACUGAUUUCUACUAAUCAAUCUUAUUGGGCUUAUUUUCCUGAUACUCCUUUUUUAAGAGUUAUUGAUUGGGGAAAACUUAAUAUUAAGGUAUUUACUGAUAAUCCUGAUUUUUUAGGAGGGAUUUCUGAUUCCCUUAUUCCUCAUAAGAUGUCCUAUAAUAUGAAUUUCAAGGGUUUAAUAGAAGAGACUCCUAUUUGCUUUGCUACUGAUAAUAAAUUCAUCCCUCAAGGA